UAAUAAUAAUGAUGAUGAUGAUGAUGGUGAUAGUGAUGGUGAUGAUGAUGAUGAUGAUAAUUGUCAUCAUCAUCAUCAUCAUCAUCAUCACUGUUU
rnacentral:pre_miRNA from 1 species